CCGCACGGGUGAGUAACACGUAUCCAACCUGCCGUCUACUCUUGGCCAGCCUUCUGAAAGGAAGAUUAAUCCAGGAUGGCAUCAUGAGUUCACAUGUCCGCAUGAUUAAAGGUAUUUUCCGGUAGACGAUGGGGAUGCGUUCCAUUAGAUAGUAGGCGGGGUAACGGCCCACCUAGUCAACGAUGGAUAGGGGUUCUGAGAGGAAGGUCCCCCACAUUGGAACUGAGGCACGGUCCAA
rnacentral:rRNA from 1 species